CACGUAGGGUGCGAGCGUUGUCCGGAAUUAUUGGGCGUAAAGAGCUCGUAGGCGGUGUGUCGCGUCGGCCGUGAAAACUUGCAGCUUAACUGUGGGCGUGCGGUCGAUACGGGCAUCACUGGAGUGCGGCAGGGGAGACUGGAAUUCCUGGUGUAGCGGUGGAAUGCGCAGAUAUCAGGAGGAACACCGGUGGCGAAGGCGGGUCUCUGGACAGUUACUGACACUGAGGCACGAAGGCCAGGGGAGCAAACGGG
rnacentral:rRNA from 1 species